AUGUGGCGCCAUCUAGUAGUAAGACAAAGAAGGUUUUAACUCUUACGCUAAGUUACGAGUCAACAAAGCAGAAUAGCUUAAAAACAGCAAUCUACAGUAAAGCCUCGCUUACACUAGAGGUUCUUCUUAAGUUUUUAGUUCCUUAAUCUUUUAAGUUCUUAAGAAGUUAAGCUAAGUUUUAAAUUUUUCAACUUACACUGUCAAGUGACUUUUUUUUUAAAGAAGGCGGAGUUAGUUUUCGUGCAAACGCAAAUAAAUAUAAGCAGACGAAGUGCUAUUUUUGUGUUGAUGUUGAGCGUCAUCAAAAUGGAUAACUACGAUUUUUACGUGUACCAGUGGAAACGAAAUGUGUUGUUGGAUUCACAGCUCUUUUAUUUGCGGUUUCCGACACUUGGACAUCUGGCACACGACGAUAGGACAUCUGCCCGACGACGUUUGAAAAAGUGGUUCCCGACAUUUGGAAACAACAACUAAAUGUUGCUGAAUCCAACUAGCAGAAUACUUUGCGACAAGUGGACUCAAAUGUCAGCGACGUAAAGACUUCCAGUUAACGACGAGUGGACUUCCAGGCAAUCGACGUUUGGACUCCCGGGUAAUUGACGUUUGGACUCCUUUUUGUUUUUGUUUUUGUUUUCUUUCUUUUGAAGUGUUCUCUACGACAUAAGGACUCCUGAUAUAGCGACAAAGGGACUCCCAAUCCAGUGACGCAUGGAUUUUCAGAGUUAUUUACGCUGAAGGAUUCUUAACCACAUAGGUUUUUCUGAUAUGUUCACCUUUGCGGGUAAAACUAUGGGGACUGCAUCUGCGCCAUUAACAGUUACGCCUCCAUCACCAUUAACAUUAAUGUUUAUUUCAAACUUGCCACUGUUUGCAUUCUGAUUUC